rnacentral:rRNA from 1 species
GACGAACGCUGGCGGCGUGCCUAAUACAUGCAAGUUGAGCGAUGAAGAUUGGUGCUUGCACCAAUUUGAAGAGCAGCGAACGGGUGAGUAACGCGUGGGGAAUCUGCCUUUGAGCGGGGGACAACAUUUGGAAACGAAUGCUAAUACCGCACAACAACUUUAAACAUAAGUUUUAAGUUUGAAAGAUGCAAUUGCAUCACUCAAAGAUGAUCCCGCGUUGUAUUAGCUAGUCGGUGAGGUAAAGGCUCACCAAGGCGAUGAUACAUAGCCGACCUGAGAGGGUGAUCGGCCACAUUGGGACUGAGACACGGCCCAAACUCCUACGGGAGGCAGCAGUAGGGAAUCUUCGGCAAUGGACGAAAGUCUGACCGAGCAACGCCGCGUGAGUGAAGAAGGUUUUCGGAUCGUAAAACUCUGUUGGUAGAGAAGAACGUUGGUGAGAGUGGAAAGCUCAUCAAGUGACGGUAACUACCCAGAAAGGGACGGCUAACUACGUG